rnacentral:siRNA from 1 species
AUUAAGUAACAUCCUUCCAAACCC